ensembl:snoRNA
GCCCUCCAAUUCCCGAUCCUAUUGGAUCUGAGCAUUGGUCAUGGUGGUCGUGAAAGGAGGAACAGUAACACUGAAGCUGGCCUCACAGGGCUCAGAGUCUGCAACUGCAGCACAUGGGAUAGUUUUAAACAAGG